rnacentral:rRNA from 1 species
AGUGAACGCUGGCGGUAGGCCUAACACAUGCAAGUCGAACGGCAGCACAGUAAGAGCUUGCUCUUACGGGUGGCGAGUGGCGGACGGGUGAGGAAUACAUCGGAAUCUACUUUUUCGUGGGGGAUAACGUAGGGAAACUUACGCUAAUACCGCAUACGACCUACGGGUGAAAGCAGGGGAUCUUCGGACCUUGCGCGAUUGAAUGAGCCGAUGUCGGAUUAGCUAGUUGGCGGGGUAAAGGCCCACCAAGGCGACGAUCCGUAGCUGGUCUGAGAGGAUGAUCAGCCACACUGGGACUGAGACACGGUCCAGACUCCUACGGGAGGCAGCAGUGGGGAAUAUUGGAGAAUGGGCGCAAGCCUGAUCCAGCCGUACCGCGUGGGUGAAGAAGGCCUUCGGGUUGUAAAGCCCUUUUGUUGGGAAAGAAAAGCAGCAGGUUAAUACCCCGCUGUUCUGACGGUACCCAAAGAAUAAGCACCGGCUAACUUCGUG